rnacentral:rRNA from 1 species
CCCUUAGAUGUCCUGGGCCGCACGCGCGUUACACUGAUGCAUUCAACGAGCUUAUAACCUUGGCCGAGAGGCCUGGGCAAUCUUGUUAACGUGCAUCGUGAUAGGGAUAGAUUAUUGAAAUUAUUAAUCUUGAACGAGGAAUUCCUAGUAAACGCAGAUCAUCAAUCUGCAUUGAUUACGUCCCUGCCCUUUGUACACACCGCCCGUCGCACCUACCGAUUGGAUGGUCCGGUGAAGCCUCGGGAUUGUGGUUCUUGCCGCUUUAUUGUGGCGUGACCGCGAGAACUUGUCUAUACCUUAUCAUCUAGAGGAAGGUGAAGUCGUAACA